rnacentral:rRNA from 1 species
AUGCUUGGAAGCAUCGACUGCAUGCAUUGGACAUGGAAAAAACGUCCAUUUGCUUGGCAAGGGAUGCACAAAGGCGCCAAAGGAGGUUGCAAUGUGGUACUUGAGGCAGUGGCCACACAGGACCUUUGGAUUUGGCACUCCUUUGGUAUGCCAGGAACUCACAAUGACAUCAACGUACUGGAGUGCUCAAAUGUCUUUGCCAAGCUUGUUGAAGGUCAUGCUCCUGCGGUGAACUUCGAGGUCAAUGGGCGCCACUACAACAAGGGAUACUACCUAGCAUAUGGCAUCUAUCCAAGAUGGUCCACAUUUGUGAAGACUAUCGCAAACCUGUGCCAGGAGCCAAGAACACCUACUUUGCCAAGUGUCAGGAGGCUUGCAGGAAGGAUGUCGAGCGGGCAUUUGGUGUGCUCCAAUCUUGAUUUGCUCUUGUCCGGUACCCCGCUUAGACCUGGUCGAAAGAUCACAUGUGGGAGGUCAUGA